rnacentral:hammerhead_ribozyme from 1 species
AUUCAGCUGAAGAGUCCCGAACAGGACGAAACACGCGUCAAACUCGAU